rnacentral:rRNA from 1 species
AUUGAACGCUGGCGGCAGGCUUAACACAUGCAAGUCGAGCGGAGAGAGGUAGCUUGCUACCGAUCUUAGCGGCGGACGGGUGAGUAAUGCUUAGGAAUCUGCCUAUUAGUGGGGGACAACGUUCCGAAAGGAACGCUAAUACCGCAUACGUCCUACGGGAGAAAGCAGGGGAUCUUCGGACCUUGCGCUAAUAGAUGAGCCUAAGUCGGAUUAGCUAGUUGGUGGGGUAAAGGCCUACCAAGGCGACGAUCUGUAGCGGGUCUGAGAGGAUGAUCCGCCACACUGGGACUGAGACACGGCCCAGACUCCUACGGGAGGCAGCAGUGGGGAAUAUUGGACAAUGGGCGGAAGCCUGAUCCAGCCAUGCCGCGUGUGUGAAGAAGGCCUUUUGGUUGUAAAGCACUUUAAGCGAGGAGGAGGCUCCUUUAGUUAAUACCUAAAGAGAGUGGACGUUACUCGCAGAAUAAGCACCGGCUAACUCUGUGCCAGCCGCCGCGGUAACAC